rnacentral:lncRNA from 1 species
AGUAACAGAACCUGUGAGCAAGAGCUAGGUGAAGGACCAGUCAGUCCUCUAGCUCUAGGGAAGCUCUGUCCACUUCUGUAAGGAAGUGAGGCCACGUGUGGGGUACCGCAACCAAUUCAACAUUGCCUUCUCCAGCUUCUGGAGACAGGGCGCGGAGGGUGCACUCCACGUUCAGGUGGCAGUGUUGAAGCCAAAAGCUUCUAAAGAUGUGGUUUCGGGAAAUUAAGAGUUGAAUGUAUAUGAGUAAGCAAACACAAGAAUCCAAAAAACCACAGCCUGUGACAGAUCAAGCCUAGUACCUUUCCAGCACUUAAGAAGAGUUCAUGUCCAAUCUAUUCACUAUUCAUCUUGAUUCCAUCAUGAAGGUAAACUAAAUUGCCA